rnacentral:rRNA from 1 species
GACGAACGCUGGCGGCGUGCUUAACACAUGCAAGUCGAACGGAAAGGCCCUGCUUUUGUGGGGUGCUCGAGUGGCGAACGGGUGAGUAACACGUGAGUAACCUGCCCUUGACUUUGGGAUAACUUCAGGAAACUGGGGCUAAUACCGGAUAGGAGCUCCUGCUGCAUGGUGGAGGUUGGAAAGUUUCGGCGGUUGGGGAUGGACUCGCGGCUUAUCAGCUUGUUGGUGGGGUAGUGGCUUACCAAGGCUUUGACGGGUAGCCGGCCUGAGAGGGUGACCGGCCACAUUGGGACUGAGAUACGGCCCAGACUCCUACGGGAGGCAGCAGUGGGGAAUAUUGCACAAUGGGCGGAAGCCUGAUGCAGCAACGCCGCGUGCGGGAUGACGGCCUUCGGGUUGUAAACCGCUUUCGCAUGUGACGAAGCGUGAGUGACGGUAAUGGGUAAAGAAGCACCGGCUAACUACGUG